UACAGAGGGGGCAAGCGUUGUUCGGAAUUACUGGGCGUAAAGGGCGCGUAGGCGGCCUUCUAAGUCGAACGUGAAAUCCCUCGGCUUAACCGGGGAACUGCGCUUGAUACUGGAUGGCUUGAGAUUGGGAGAGGGAUGCGGAAUUCCAGGUGUAGCGGUGAAAUGCGUAGAUAUCUGGAGGAACACCGGUGGCGAAGGCGGCAUCCUGGACCAACACUGACGCUGAGGAGCGAAAGCCAGGGGAGCAAACGGG
rnacentral:rRNA from 1 species